UAUGUAUGUGUGUCAUUGUCACAUUAUUGUAUGUGGGGAAAAAAAAGAAAAAAAAAAAAGAAAAAAAAACUCAUGUAUAUACAUAUGCAUAUAUGUAUAUGAUAUAAAUUUACGUUAGUUACGUUGAAAUUUCUCCACGAUU